GACGAACGCUGGCGGCGUGCUUAACACAUGCAAGUCGAACGGAAAGGCCCUGCUUUUGUGGGGUGCUCGAGUGGCGAACGGGUGAGUAACACGUGAGUAACCUGCCCUUGACUUUGGGAUAACUUCAGGAAACUGGGGCUAAUACCGGAUAGGAGCUCCUGCUGCAUGGUGGGGGUUGGAAAGUUUCGGCGGUUGGGGAUGGACUCGCGGCUUAUCAGCUUGUUGGUGGGGUAGUGGCUUACCAAGGCUUUGACGGGUAGCCGGCCUGGGAGGGUGACCGGCCACAUUGGGCCUGAGAUACGGCCCAGACUCCUACGGGACGCAGCAGUGCGGAAUAUUGCACAAUGGGCGGAAGCCUGAUGCAGCAACGCCGCGUGCGGGAUGACGGCCUUCGGGUUGUAAACCGCUUUCGCCUGUGACGAAGCGUGAGUGACGGUAAUGGGUAAAGAAGCACCGGCUAACUACGUG
rnacentral:rRNA from 1 species